rnacentral:rRNA from 1 species
AUACGUAGGGGGCGAGCGUUGUCCGGAAUGAUUGGGCGUAAAGGGCGCGUAGGCGGCGCGGUAAGUCUGGAGUGAAAGUCCUGCUUUCAAGGUGGGAAUUGCUUUGGAUACUGCCGCGCUUGAGUGCAGGAGAGGUUAUCGGAAUUCCCGGUGUAGCGGUGAAAUGCGUAGAGAUCGGGAGGAACACCAGUGGCGAAGGCGGGUAACUGGACUGCAACUGACGCUGAGGCGCGAAAGUGUGGGGAGCAAACAGGAUGAGAUGACCUGGUAGGCCACACUGUAAACGAUGAAUGCUAGGUGUAAGAGGUAUCGACCCCUUUUGUGCCGGAGUCAACACAAUAAGCACUCCGCCUGGGGAGUACGGCCGCAAGGUUGAAACUCAAAGGAAUUGACGGGG